UUUCAUCUCUGCAGCGUGCUGUGAUCAGCACAGCAGAGCCGCAUCAAGAGGGGGCAGAGGGUACAAAUUACUAACCCCCCCAGCUCAGCCCACUGCCACUGACUUUAAUCAUUGCAGCCACUGCUGCAAUGCACAAUAAAAUCUGAGGCCCGAAAAGGGGCGGGGCUAAACAGCACUGUACCCACAGUGCCACCAUGCCAGCCAGCAACAGCAUGAGAGAGAGAGAGAGGAGAAGAGCAGCACAGCCUAAACACAUGGGAGGCUGCAUUCCUGAUGAAGAUCAUAGAAGAAACAUGCAUGGUGGCCUCUCAGCUUCUUCUCUACCUCAUGUCCUUUUGGUUUGGCAUUAAAGCCUCCACGCCAGUGAGUUACUUCAAUUCCGCUUCGGAUCCAGGACUUUUGUAGAACAAUUCUCAUCUGAUUGGUCUGGCCUGUCCAAAGUAGGAUUGCAGCAAAGAAGGCAAACAAGUACGAAAGAGAGCCAGGACCCAAACCACACUGCCAAGAGAUGCGGAUGCUGGCGAUGCAGAUAGAGACAUCAUGCCUCAGGAUCCCCAGCAGGAAACUGACUUGCAGCAAACGUUCACACUCCACCUGCAAGCAAUUGAUAAUAACCAGCCAACCGCACCGGCUGACAUAACUCCACCACCCCAAACAUCCCCCACCCCCCAAUUGAGCCCAACACCACCCAAGCCACAAAUGGGACAAGAGUUUUGGGACAGUUGGGCCACACAACAGGCACAAAACCAUACCUGUCUGCGCACACACAGCCAAUAUCUUGCCAGUCUGCCCCAUCAUCUACCUAGACUCAGUAGAAACUCAAACAGACUGAUUGUGCAACUUGGCAGAGUGGCCAAUACGAUGGAGCAGAUGAGAGCAGACAACAGCCAACUUAUAGCAAGUUUUCAGCGCAUAAUGGAUGAAUAACACCGCCAUCAACAAGUCCUCAUUCAAAUAAUUCAAAACAAUCAGUUAAUUACCGAAAGCCGGUCCAGAAUCAUCUCCAACAACACAGCUGCAACCACACAACUCACAGCAAGCCUCAACAACCUGAGCCAAAACAUAAAUGUGUUGGCAUCCCAGCAACAAGGCUCAAGCUCAGGGACAACCACACAUAGCCAGACCCCAGUUACAUCCCCAGUUAGACGAUCCAGCAGAACACGGUCCAAUGUGCCAUCACAAUCCUCUGCAGCCAGCAAAAAAAAACCUAGGAAAUGAGCAACCCUGCAACAGUAUAUACAGUAUUGCCAACCAUAUUUCAACAAUAUAGAAUUGUGCCCAACCAAAAACAAGUGUUUAAGGUAAUAAAUGACUCAAACUCUA